AUUGAACGCUGGCGGCAUGCCUUACACAUGCAAGUCGAGCGCGAAAGGGGGCAACCCCGAGUAGAGCGGCGGACGGGUGAGUAACGCAUCGGAACGUGCCCAGUAGUGGGGGACAACCUCGAGAAAUCGAGGCUAAUACCGCAUACGACCCACGGGUGAAAGCGGGGGACCGCAAGGCCUCGCGCUAUUGGAGCGGCCGAUGUCCGAUUAGCUAGUUGGCGGGGUAAGAGCCCACCAGGGCGACGAUCGGUAGCUGGUCUGAGAGGACGACCAGCCACACUGGGACUGAGACACGGCCCAGACUCCUACGGGAGGCAGCAGUGGGGAAUUUUGGACAAUGGGGGCAACCCUGAUCCAGCCAUGCCGCGUGCGGGAAGAAGGCCUCGG
rnacentral:rRNA from 1 species